GAUGAAGAACGUAGUGAAAUGCGAUAAGUAAUGCGAAUUGCAGAAUUCAGUGAAUCAUCGAAUCUUUGAACGCACAUUGCGCCCCAUGGUAUUCCGUGGGGCAUGCCUGUUCGAGCGUCAUUUACCCCCUCAAGCUCCGCUUGGUGUUGGGCGUCUGUCCCGCUUCGCGCGCGGACUCGCCCCAAAGGUAUUGGCAGCGGUCGUGCCAGCUUCUCGCGCAGCACAUUGCGCUUCUCGAGGCACCGGUGGGCCCGCGUCCAUCAAGCUCACCCCCCCAGUUUGACCUCGGAUCAGGUAGGGAUACCCGCUGAACUUAAGCAUAUCAAUAAGCGGAGGA
rnacentral:misc_RNA from 1 species